rnacentral:rRNA from 1 species
UACGUAGGGUGCAAGCGUUGUCCGGAAUUAUUGGGCGUAAAGAGCUCGUAGGCGGUCUGUCGCGUCGGCUGUGAAAACUCGGGGCUCAACCCCGAGCCUGCAGUCGAUACGGGCAGACUAGAGUGCUGUAGGGGAGACUGGAAUUCCUGGUGUAGCGGUGGAAAUGCGCAGAUAUCAGGAGGAACACCAGUGGCGAAGGCAGGAUCUCUGG